rnacentral:rRNA from 1 species
UACAGAGGGUGCAAGCGUUAAUCGGAAUUACUGGGCGUAAAGCGCACGUAGGCGGUUUUUUAAGUCAGAUGUGAAAGCCCCGGGCUCAACCUGGGAAUUGCAUUUGAAACUGGGAAACUAGAGUGUGUGAGAGGGGGGUAGAAUUCCAAGUGUAGCGGUGAAAUGCGUAGAGAUUUGGAGGAAUACCAGUGGCGAAGGCGGCCCCCUGGCACAACA